rnacentral:rRNA from 1 species
UACGUAGGCAGCAAGCGUUGUUCGGAAUUACUGGGCGUAAAGAGUGUGUAGGCGGUGCUCUAAGUUCGGUGUGAAAUCUCCCGGCUCAACUGGGAGGGUGCGCCGAAAACUGGAGUGCUGGAGCGCGGGAGAGGAAAGCGGAAUUCCUGGUGUAGCGGUGAAAUGCGUAGAUAUCUGGAGGAACACCGGUGGCGAAGGCGGCAUCCUGGACCAACACUGACACUGAUGAGCGAAAGCCAGGGGAGCAAACGGG